CUACGGACUUAAGGAAUUGAGCCUUGAUAGGGAAACCUUUCAAGUGGAAGCUCUCAAACUCAGGGAAACCUAAAUCUCAUAACCUAAAUUUGGUUUAUAGAUAUGGCAAUCCUGAGCCAAGCCCAGAAAAUCUGAAAUUUGAGAUGAAAAGUUCUCAAGUUAAAGACCAUGGGAAGGUGCAGAGACUCGACGGGAGCUACCCUAACGUGAAGACGAGGGUAAAGAGAGAGUCCAAUUCUCAAAACUUAGAA
rnacentral:ncRNA from 1 species